rnacentral:rRNA from 1 species
UACGUAGGGGGCAAGCGUUGUCCGGAAUCAUUGGGCGUAAAGCGCGUGUAGGCGGUCCGGUAAGUCCGCUGUAAAACUCGGGGCUCAACCCCGAGCCUGCUUCCGAUACGGGCAGACUAGAGGUAUGCAGGGGAGAAUGGAAUUCCUGGUGUAGCGGUGAAAUGCGCAGAUAUCAGGAGGAACACCGGUGGCGAAGGCGGUUCUCUGGGCAUUACCUGACGCUGAGGAGCGAAAGUGUGGGGAGCGAACAGG